rnacentral:rRNA from 1 species
UACGGGAGGCAGCAGUGGGGAAUAUUGCACAAUGGGCGCAAGCCUGAUGCAGCCAUGCCGCGUGUAUGAAGAAGGCCUUCGGGUUGUAAAGUACUUUCAGUCGUGAGGAAGGUGUUAAGGUUAAUAACCUUAGCAAUUGACGUUAGCGACAGAAGAAGCACCGGCUAACUCCGUGCCAGCAGCCGCGGUAAUACGGAGGGUGCGAGCGUUAAUCGGAAUUACUGGGCGUAAAGGGCACGCAGGCGGUUAAUUAAGUUGGAUGUGAAAUCCCCGGGCUUAACCUGGGAAUGGCAUUCAAGACUGGUUAGCUAGAGUCUUGUAGAGGGGGUAGAAUUCCAUGUGUAGCGGUGAAAUGCGUAGAGAUGUGGAGGAAUACCGGUGGCGAAGGCGGCCCCUGGGACAAAGGACUGACGCUCAUGUGCGAAAGCGUGGGGAGCGAAACAGGGAUUAGAUACC